rnacentral:rRNA from 1 species
UACCCGAAGCACAAGUGGUGGUCAUUAUUAUUGGGCCUAAAGCGUCCGUAGCUGGCGUGUUAGAUGCCUGGGUAAAUCGAUGCGCUUAACGCAUCGAAUUCCGGGUAGACCGGCACGCUCGAGACCGGGAGAGGUAUGGGGUACUCGGGGGGUAGGGGUAAAAUCCUGUAAUCCUCCGGGGACGACCAGUGGCGAAGGCGCCAUACUAGAACGGCUCUGACAGUGAGGGACGAAGCCCUGGGGCGCAAACCGG